rnacentral:ncRNA from 1 species
CUUAUCAAGAGAGACCGAGGGAAUUGGCCCAAUGACGUCCGGCAACCGGCAAGGCACGGUGCUACAUCCAACAGUCUUACUGACAGAUAAGG